rnacentral:rRNA from 1 species
GGGUUGUGAGGUUAAGCGACUAAGCGUACACGGUGGAUGCCCUGGCAGUCAGAGGCGAUGAAGGACGUGCUAAUCUGCGAUAAGCGUCGGUAAGGUGAUAUGAACCGUUAUAACCGGCGAUUUCCGAAUGGGGAAACCCAGUGUGAUUCGACACACUAUCAUUAACUGAAUCCAUAGGUUAAUGAGGCGAACCGGG